GACGAACGCUGGCGGUAUGCUUAACACAUGCAAGUCGAACGAGAAGUCUUUUAUUGAACCUUCGGGGGAUAUAAGAGACAGACAGUGGCGAACGGGUGAGUAACGCGUGGGCAACCUACCUAUCGGAGCGGGAUAGCCUCGAGAAAUCGGGAGUAAAACCGCAUAACACGGAUAUAUCGCAUGAUGAAUCCGUCAAAACUCCGGUGCCGAUAGAUGGGCCCGCGUCUGAUUAGCUAGUUGGUAAGGUAAGGGCUUACCAAGGCAACGAUCAGUAGCCGGUCUGAGAGGGCGAACGGCCACACUGGAACUGAGACACGGUCCAGACUCCUACGGGAGGCAGCAGUGGGGAAUAUUGCGCAAUGGGGGCAACCCCUGACGCAGCAAUACCCGCGUGAGUGAAAGAAAGGUUUUUCGGAUCGUAAAAGCUUCUGUUAUUGGGGAAAGAAA
rnacentral:rRNA from 1 species